rnacentral:rRNA from 1 species
CACCAGACUCCUACGGGAGGCAGCAGUGAGGAAUAUUGGUCAAUGGGCGCGGGCCUGAACCAGCCAAGUCGCGUGAGGGAAGACGGUCCUAUGGAUUGUAAACCUCUUUUGUCGGGGAGCAAAGGACGCCACGCGUGGCGUUCCGAGAGUACCCGAAGAAAAAGCAUCGGCUAACUCCGUGCCAGCAGCCGCGGUAAUACGGAGGAUGCGAGCGUUAUCCGGAUUUAUUGGGUUUAAAGGGUGCGCAGGCGGAGGUGCAAGUCAGUGGUCAAAUUGCGGGGCUCAACCCCGUACUGCCGUUGAAACUGGCGUUCUUGAGUGAGCGAGAAGUAUGCGGAAUGCGUGGUGUAGCGGUGAAAUGCAUAGAUAUCACGCAGAACUCCGAUUGCGAAGGCAGCAUACCGGCGCUCAACUGACGCUCAUGCACGAAAGCGUGGGUAUCGAACAGGAUUAGAUACCCGUGUACA